CUACGGGCCGCAGCAGUGGGGAAUAUUGCACAAUGGACGCAAGCCUGAUGCAGCGACGCCGCGUGAGUGAUGAAGUAUUUCGGUAUGUAAAGCUCUAUCAGCAGGGAAGAAAAUGACGGUACCUGACUAAGAAGCCCCGGCUAACUACGUGCCAGCAGCCGCGGUAAUACGUAGGGGGCAAGCGUUAUCCGGAUUUACUGGGUGUAAAGGGAGCGUAGGUGGCAAGGCAAGUCAGAAGUGAAAACCCAGAGCUCAACUUUGGGACUGCUUUUGAAACUGUCUAGCUAGAGUGCAGGAGAGGUAAGCGGAAUUCCUAGUGUAGCGGUGAAAUGCGUAGAUAUUAGGAGGAACACCAGUGGCGAAGGCGGCUUACUGGACUGUAACUGACACUGAGGCUCGAAAGCGUGGGGAGCAAACAGGAUUAGAUACCCCCGUAGUC
rnacentral:rRNA from 1 species